rnacentral:rRNA from 1 species
AACGAACGCUGGCGGCAGGCCUAACACAUGCAAGUCGAGCGAGGACUUCGGUUCUAGCGGCGGACGGGUGAGUAACGCGUGGGAAUGUGCCCUUCUCUACGGAAUAGCCCUGGGAAACUGGGAGUAAUACCGUAUACGCCCUAUUGGGGAAAGAUUUAUCGGAGAAGGAUCAGCCCGCGUUGGAUUAGGUAGUUGGUGGGGUAAUGGCCUACCAAGCCGACGAUCCAUAGCUGGUUUGAGAGGAUGAUCAGCCACACUGGGACUGAGACACGGCCCAGACUCGUAGGGGAGGGGGGGGGGGGUAAUCUAGGAAAAGGGGGCCAGCCGGGAUGGACCUUGGCGUGGGGAGGAAGGAGGUCGUGAGGGUAAAAAAGCUCUUGCAGAUGGAAGGAUAAGGACGGUACCAAAAGAAGAAGCCCCGGCUAACUCCGUG